UGCCAAGUAGCUGGGACUACAGGCGCCCGUCACCACGCCGGGCUAAUUUUUUGUAUUUUUAGUAGAGACGGAGUUUCACCAUGUUAGCCAGGAUGGUCUCGAUCUUCUGACCUCGUGAUCCGCCCGCCUCGGCCUCCAAAGUGCUGGGAUCUGAAUUCAAUUUUGCAGAUGUGAUUGCUUCCCCUUCGCCUUCUGCCAUGAUUGUAAUUUUCCUGAGGCCUUCCCAGCCAUGCUUUGUGUACACCCUGUGGAAAUGAAGCCAAAGAAAGUGAAAGGAUCCUAGCAAGUUUCCUGAACACAUCAACUUCAGGGUUAUGGCCCACCACAAGGGAUAUUCUCAAGGGUUGAGCACCAUCUUCACACCACACAACUUCCAGGAUUAUCUCCUUCCAACCACCAGAGUCACAUCCUGCAGGUUACUCAGUGACAUCAAAGCUCCUGGGAAAUGUUGAUGUGAUCCUGUUGGUGAUUGGUUUCCUCAUCAUAAUGUGGUAUGAGAAUAUAUUAUAGUUUUAUAUUCUACAUUCCUGACUCCACCCCCAUGAAGAGCCAUGUUUCAAGACCACAGGAUGGUCAAUAUUGGAUUAAUUGCUACUGGACUUAACAUUGCUAAGUGAAAGGGGCAAGUUGGAGAGAACUGUAUGUCACUAUCUAGUUAAGGUCAAAUAUGCGAAGAUAAUAUCUGUUUAUAGUUUUUUUUAAAUAGAAUAAACAAUAAAAUAAAUUUAGACGGCUAUCUAUUUAGGGGAGAAGGGGAAAUAGCUAGAGGAGACAGGGCAAAAAGCUAGACUUUUUUGAAAAUAACUGACAAUAAAAAUGUGACUGUGAAACAGUGUAAAUAUGUUAAUUUUGAAAGUAUAAUCAAAUACAAAGGCAAAACCUAAAUGUCAAAAUAAAAAUAAACAAAUGAAGAAAAAUAUGCACCUAGUAAGUGACACACUAUGCAGAAAGGGAAUAUUCCAAGGGAUUCCUGAAUUUAGGCAUUUAGUUGUACUGUCAAAUUGAGUAGUGCACUGUGGUCAAUAAAUAAACAAAAUAAAAAUGUAAAAUAAGAUCCUAAACUAUUUUCAGUUAUUAGAUGCUUGUUAUUAGUGUAUACAUGGUUCUGAGAGUAUUGAUUAUGAGUAAAUUAUGAAUAAAAUAAGCAAAAUAUUAAUUCAAAAUAUUAAACCAAGUGUUAUUGACAACUGGGAACUCUAACAUGGAAGAAAGAGGAUAUAAGAUGUAAGAUAGGAGAAUUUAAAAAAUGUUUAUUGGAAAAUUGGAAAUUU
rnacentral:lncRNA from 10 species